GGGGCUAUGGCUCAGUGGUGAAGCAUUAGUUUUGCAUGCAGAAGGUCCUAGGUUCAAUUCCUGUUAUCUCCA
rnacentral:tRNA from 1 species